rnacentral:lncRNA from 12 species
AUUCUAAAGACCCAUCAGGCAGUGCCAGCGGGGAAGCAGGCGGAGGGCGGUAGGCGUCCACGGGAUGAACCAGCUGCAGACGGGCUCCACACGGCACCUGGCGCUCACCGUGCAGUGUCAUCCAUACCUGCUGUCUUGCAUCCUGAGGUCGGAAGUAACCGCUGCUACUGUGUCCUGGGUCCACGAGCCGCAGAAGAGGGGGGCAGGUGGGGCCCUACACUCGGCACAUCAAUAAGGAGACCAGGAGGAGCCGGGCCGCCCCGUCCGUCCCCCUUCAGCGACCUGGUGCCCUCCUCAUGGAGUGAAGUCCCCCCAGCUCCACCCUCCUGUUCCCCUUGGGGACAGUCCCGCAGCCCCACACUCCUGUGCCCGUGGGGACGGUCCCCCAGCCCCGCUCGCCUGUGCCCGUGGGGACGGUCCCUCAUCCCUGCCCGCCUGUGCCCGUGGGGACGGUCCCCCAGCCCCGCCUUCCUGUGCCUGCAGCGGCGGUCCACCAGCCCCACUCGCCUGUGCCCGCGGGGACAGUCCCCCAGCAGCCGGGUGCCCCCAGGGCAGCGCUCCUGGUUCCCAGGUUCCGGGCUCCGUGGACCUGGAUGUCCCCUCCCCAGACGCUGUCGCACGGAUGGCGGCGGAUCGCGCCCGGCUCAGAAGCUGCUGUCACCCCGACCUCCUCCUCCUAGGCCCGCAGGCAAAGGAGGGACACGAUGUCCCCAGUAGGCCCGACGGUCCGAAGCAGCGCCCCGGGAGCAGGGAGCGACCCCGGCCCAGGCCCCCUGAGUGCUGCUGCCGCCCUCCGGUGCGCGUCUGGGAGCUUGCCCGGGUCACAGCCCCGGGGACCGUGGCUCCUGCGAUGGCCGCUGGCCUCCUGGGGCUCCUACGGCUCAGCCGGUGGUGCUGCCCCACGUCGGAGAAAGGCCCUUAGGUCCUUAGGUCCUGUCAAUCAUACACCGUCAGGAUUGCCCGGGGCAUUAAAAUGUUAUGAUUUUAACGAAUUAAUAAAUUACGAUUGACUUAAUUGUUAAAUAAACA